UACGUAGGGUGCAAGCGUUAAUCGGAAUUACUGGGCGUAAAGCGUGCGCAGGCGGUUUUGUAAGUCUGUCGUGAAAUCCCCGGGCUCAACCUGGGAAUUGCGAUGGAGACUGCAAGGCUAGAAUCUGGCAGAGGGGGGUAGAAUUCCACGUGUAGCAGUGAAAUGCGUAGAGAUGUGGAGGAACACCGAUGGCGAAGGCAGCCCCCUGGGUCAAGAUUGACGCUCAUGCACCGAAAGGCGUGGGGAGCAAACAGG
rnacentral:rRNA from 1 species